rnacentral:rRNA from 1 species
UACAGAGGUCUCAAGCGUUGUUCGGAUUCAUUGGGCGUAAAGGGUGCGUAGGCGGCGCGGUAAGUCGGGUGUGAAAUCUCGGAGCUUAACUCCGAAACUGCAUUCGAUACUGCCGUGCUUGAGGACUGGAGAGGAGACUGGAAUUCCCGGUGUAGCGGUGAAAUGCGCAGAUAUCGGGAGGAACACCAAUAGCGAAGGCAGCUCGCUGGGACGGUACUGACGCUGAGGUGCGAAAGCGUGGGGAGCGAACGAGG